rnacentral:rRNA from 1 species
UCCCCUGGGCGGCAGGCCUAACACAUGCAAGUCGAGCGGUAGCACAAGAGAGCUUGCUCUCUGGGUGACGAGCGGCGGACGGGUGAGUAAUGUCUGGGAAACUGCCUGAUGGAGGGGGAUAACUACUGGAAACGGUAGCUAAUACCGCAUGACGUCUUCGGACCAAAGUGGGGGACCUUCGGGCCUCACGCCAUCAGAUGUGCCCAGAUGGGAUUAGCUAGUAGGUGGGGUAAUGGCUCACCUAGGCGACGAUCUCUAGCUGGUCUGAGAGGAUGACCAGCCACACUGGAACUGAGACACGGUCCAGACUCCUACGGGAGGCAGCAGUGGGGAAUAUUGCACAAUGGGCGCAAGCCUGAUGCAGCCAUGCCGCGUGUAUGAAGAAGGCCUUCGGGUUGUAAAGUACUUUCAGCGAGGAGGAAGGCAUUGGGUUAAUAACCUUAGUGAUUGACGUUACUCGCAGAAGAAGCACCGGCUAACUCCGUGCCAGCAGCCGCGGUAAUACGGAGGGUGCAAGCGUUAAUCGGAAUUACUGGGCGUAAAGCGCACGCAGGCGGUUUGUUAAGUCAGAUGUGAAAUCCCCGAGCUUAACUUGGGAACUGCAUUUGAAACUGGCCAGCUAGAGUCUUGUAGAAGGGGGGUAGAAUUCCAGGUGUAGCGGUGAAAUGCGUAGAGAUCUGGAGGAAUACCGGUGGCGAAGGCGGCCCCUGGGACAAAGACUGACCGCUCAGGUGCGAAAGCGGUGGGGGGAGCAAACAGGAUUAGGAAAGCGGCCCCUUGGACAAAAGACUGACGCUUCAGGUGCGAAAGCGUUGGGGAGCAAACAGGAUUAGAUACCCUGGUAGUCCACGCUGUAAACGAUGUCGACUUGGAGGUUGUGCCCUUGAGGCGUGGCUUCCGGAGCUAACGCGUUAAGUCGACCGCCUGGGGAGUACGGCCGCAAGGUUAAAACUCAAAUGAAUUGACGGGGGCCCGCACAAGCGGUGGAGCAUGUGGUUUAAUUCGAUGCAACGCGAAGAACCUUACCUACUCUUGACAUCCAGAGAAUUUGCUAGAGAUAGCUUAGUGCCUUCGGGAACUCUGAGACAGGUGCUGCAUGGCUGUCGUCAGCUCGUGUUGUGAAAUGUUGGGUUAAGUCCCGCAACGAGCGCAACCCUUAUCCUUUGUUGCCAGCGAGUAAUGUCGGGAACUCAAAGGAGACUGCCGGUGAUAAACCGGAGGAAGGUGGGGAUGACGUCAAGUCAUCAUGGCCCUUACGAGUAGGGCUACACACGUGCUACAAUGGCAUAUACAAAGAGAAGCGAACUCGCGAGAGCAAGCGGACCUCAUAAAGUAUGUCGUAGUCCGGAUUGGAGUCUGCAACUCGACUCCAUGAAGUCGGAAUCGCUAGUAAUCGUAGAUCAGAAUGCUACGGUGAAUACGUUCCCGGGCCUUGUACACACCGCCCGUCACACCAUGGGAGUGGGUUGCAAAAGAAGUAGGUAGCUUAACCUUCGGGAGGGCGCUUACUACAUUGUGAUCUAUGACCCGG